AUCUUCUGAGUAUGAUUUAGUACGGCUGCCUUCCAAGCAGAAGGAUUAAGAAAACUUAAAGAAGAUA
rnacentral:tRNA from 1 species